rnacentral:tRNA from 1 species
GCCUCUGUACCUCAGUUGGUUAGAGCGCUGCACCGGAAUCGCAGGGCCGUAGGUUCAAUUCCUACCAGAGGAC